ensembl:lncRNA
AGAGCUCCGAGAGCGCUACAACUACGCGCUCCGUAAACAAGUGGGUGGAAACCGGCCCUAGCGACUCCACCCAGAAACGGGGAAAACGAACCAAUGGGCGCCGGGAAUACGCCUCGGCCCUUUGGCCCCUGGGCCUGGAGCCUCUCCUGACCGGUUGCUUCACCCUGCGUCUCUUCAAUAGAUUUCCAAUAAAGCAGCCCCCUUGCCUGUGUUUUCUGUGCAGUAAACAGUGCCUGGAGACAUGGUGACCCUGAGUCCUGCUUCCCUGAGAAUCCUCUCCUCAAAAUGUGUCUAUUGAUACCAUCCAUUUGGUGAACUGUUGUCAAGUACCAGAAGGAAGAAGAGGCCCUUCUCCCUUCCUAAGCUGUCGCCUGACCUGGUCAUGUAGGGGGAACCUUCAUUUAACCCUUCUCAAUCGGUUUCCCUUAUCCUCAGUUCUUUGAAGGCCAAACUGCCCAAACAAAUCCUCUACAUGUGUUC